ACCGCGUUCAAAAAGGAAGAGAUUUUUUUGCCUUUGCCAUCACAACAUGUGACUACCUGACAGAAAAUGACAAUGAAUCCACAUCUUUGCACAGAUUUGGCCUUUUAAAGGCAUGUGGUCCUAAACGUUGGAUAAGCUGAAAAACAGACUGUUUCAGUUUAAUCGUUAUUUUCAAAAAAUUGAGUGCAAAACAUUUU